GACAUGAGUGACAUCACCUUGGGAAUGUCCCCUGGCUGCUGGCAGGUUUGGGACACGGGUGACACCACCCUGGCAUUGUCCCCUGGCUGCGGGAAGGUUUGGGACACGGGUGACACCACCCUGGCAUUGUCCCCUGGCUGCGGGAAGGUUUGGGACACGGGAGACACCACCCUGGGAACCUCGCCGGGAUUCAAGCCCAGCCUCGCCGGGAUUCAAGCCCAGCCUCGCCGGGAUUCAAGCCCAGCCUCGCCGGGAUUCAAGCCCAGCCUCGCCGGGAUUCAAGCCCAGCCUCGCCGGGAUUCAAGCCCAGCCUCGCCGGGAUUCAAGCCCAGCCUCGCCGGGAUUCAAGCCCAGCCUCGCCGGGAUUCAAGCCCAGCCUCGCCGGGAUUCAAGCCCAGCCUCGCCGGGAUUCAAGCCCAGCCUCGCCGGGAUUCAAGCCCAGCCUCGCCGGGAUUCAAGCCCAGCCUCGCCGGGAUUCAAGCCCAGCCUCGCCGGGAUUCAAGCCCAGCCUCGCCGGGAUUCAAGCCCAGCCUCGCCGGGAUUCAAGCCCAGCCUCGCCGGGAUUCAAGCCCAGCCUCGCCGGGAUUCAAGCCCAGCCUCGCCGGGAUUCAAGCCCAGCCUCGCCGGGAUUCAAGCCCAGCCUCGCCGGGAUUCAAGCCCAGCCUCGCCGGGAUUCAAGCCCAGCCUCGCCGGGAUUCAAGCCCAGCCUCGCCGGGAUUCAAGCCCAGCCUCGCCGGGAUUCAAGCCCAGCCUCGCCGGGAUUCAAGCCCAGCCUCGCCGGGAUUCAAGCCCAGCCUCGCCGGGAUUCAAGCCCAGCCUCGCCGGGAUUCAAGCCCAGCCUCGCCGGGAUUCAAGCCCAGCCUCGCCGGGAUUCAAGCCCAGCCUCGCCGGGAUUCAAGCCCAGCCUCGCCGGGAUUCAAGCCCAGCCUCGCCGGGAUUCAAGCCCAGCCUCGCCGGGAUUCAAGCCCAGCCUCGCCGGGAUUCAAGCCCAGCCUCGCCGGGAUUCAAGCCCAGCCUCGCCGGGAUUCAAGCCCAGCCUCGCCGGGAUUCAAGCCCAGCCUCGCCGGGAUUCAAGCCCAGCCUCGCCGGGAUUCAAGCCCAGCCUCGCCGGGAUUCAAGCCCAGCCUCGCCGGGAUUCAAGCCCAGCCUCGCCGGGAUUCAAGCCCAGCCUCGCCGGGAUUCAAGCCCAGCCUCGCCGGGAUUCAAGCCCAGCCUCGCCGGGAUUCAAGCCCAGCCUCGCCGGGAUUCAAGCCCAGCCUCGCCGGGAUUCAAGCCCAGCCUCGCCGGGAUUCAAGCCCAGCCUCGCCGGGAUUCAAGCCCAGCCUCGCCGGGAUUCAAGCCCAGCCUCGCCGGGAUUCAAGCCCAGCCUCGCCGGGAUUCAACCCCAGCUUCGCCGGGAUUCAAGCCCAGCCUCGCCGGGAUUUCGGAACUUGGGCUGGGUCCGGCUGGGAUCGGCGUGGCCUGGGCAGCCCAAGGGUUUGGGACCACAGGGCCACCGCCGCGAGCUCAUCGUGCAGAGCCCUCGUCCUGCUGGUCGCCAGGCUGGGGACAGCAGGUCCUGAUUGUCCCGGGGGAGAUGUGGGGACGAGCCCCAGGGUCUCCAGGGCCACCUCCCCACCCCAGAGCUGCAGGGAGCACCCUGCUCUGCUGGGUUUGGAACGGGGUGAGAUUCCAGCUCCUUCCAGCCCAAACCAUCCCACCGUUCUGCGCUUCCAGAGGCGGCUGGGGAGGGGAGCUGAGCCCAGGACGCGCUGGCUCUGCCCAGCUCCCACCAGGGGCCACGACAUUUGGAGUGGCACUGGGACAAAAUUCGGGAGCAAGCACGGCUGCCAGAGGCUCCCAGAGGUGACCCCAGGGACGUUUCAUUGCUCAGCACAAACCCUGCCGAGCUGCCUGAGCCCCGUUCUGCUGCCACACGAAGCCAAACAAGUCUGACGGGGUUUGUGCGGGCAGACACAAAUCCAGACUCAUUUAGGCCCUGUGAUUGUCACUUGUUUGACGCAGCAGCUGCCUCUGAGCCGAGCCACGCUCGCAGCACAGCUCCUCUGACAUCCCCCAAGCUGGUCCCCGCCAGGAUCGGGCCCUCUGCCUUCCCUGGAGCUCGAUAAAUCCAUAAAUCCCUUCUCUCCUCCGAGCUGCUUCAGCCCCCGGUGACGGUGGCUGAUGAAGGGGAUGAGCCCGCCCCGCUGAUCGCCGCCCGGCACGGGCAGAGCCUGCAGGUGAUGUGGGCUGUGCAGGGAAAGCAUCCUCACCCCUCCCAUCCCGGGAAAAUCUGCUGCUCCUCCCCUCCCCAAGGCAGAACCUGAUCCAUCCCUGCUUUUCUCCUGAAGAAGCACAGGCAGCAAAGCCCAGCCUCCUUUCAUCCCUGCAAAUUCCUUGGAGUCAGGUAAGCCCAGCUCAGACCCCUAACCCUGGAUCUGUGACAAACCCAAAUCACCCAAAAAUCCCCGAAUCAUCACUCCCCUGCUCGCUCCACCUCUCCUGAAUCUCACGGACCGGCUCAGCCUCCAUCCCUUCCUCCUUCCCCCUCCUCCAGACAAAAGCCUGGGAUGGGGAAGCUGCAGCAGGAGGGUUCCAGCAUCACCCAAACCCAGAGAGGGAUGGAGCCAGGAGCCUCCUCCUGCUCCUGUCUCCCCUCCUGCCCACCCAGCAGGAGGAGGGCAGCGAGCUGGGCCUCCUGCAGCACAUCCCCCUUGGCUCCACGGAGCCCUAACAGGAAUUUCAGCCUCCCAGCAGCUUUUCCCUGCCCCACACACCCCCGUGGAUGUGGGGCCAGGGAGAACCUGCAGCCCCAGCUGCUCUGCCAGGCUGGGCACUGCCAGCAUCCCUCCUCCCCUCCCCUGGAGCAACUCCCUGCUGCAGGAGUUAUCUGCUCCCCAGCAGGACAGACGGCCAUGGAAGUGUCCCCAGGACAGCUGUCACCUCCUUGUGGCCUCCCCAAAUCCCAGCCUCGUCCUCUGGGACGCACAUUCAUCCUAUCUAGUGCAUUAGAGGAACUCCACUGGGCCAAAUCCAGCUGUCCUGGUGUAAAUCCAGAGCACCCCAGGGGUGAGCUGAGCACCCUGAAACACUCUGGGUUUCCAGCAGGGUUUGGGACUGGGAGCUGUCCCAGGAGCAGCAGCUGUGAAGGGUCUGGAGUUGGCCCCUCCUGUGCUGUUUGCUGAUGUGUAAACCCACAGCAUUGACCCCUUUUGUGCAGUUAUUCCUGAUUUACACCAGGGCAGGGCAGAACCAGCAGCCCUGAGCUGCCCAACUGUGUGGUUCCCAUUCCUGUGGGUCUGACUCCACACCUGGGGGGCUCAGGCCCCCAGUUCCAGGCAUUGCAAUAAAUCCAUCAAAUACAUUCUGUGUCAGUGGUGAUUUGGCUUCCCCUUUCCCCCCACCCCCCCCAGCCCCCCCCCCCCCCCCCCCCCCCCCCCCCCCCCCCCCCCCCCCCCCCCCCCCCCCCCCCCCCCCCCCCCCCCCCCCCCCCCCCCCCCCCCCCCCCCCCCCCCCCCCCC
ensembl:lncRNA